rnacentral:misc_RNA from 1 species
AUAUAUCAACCUCUUCAACUUUUGUUUGUUGGGUGUUGGAUUUGGGGGUCUUUUUUGCUGGUCUUGUAUCUACAGGUCAGCUCCCCUAAAAUGCAUUAGCAGAACAAUUUGUGAACCGUUCAUUGGUGUGAUAACUAUCUACGCUAUUGACGUGAAACAGGUUCAGCUUCUAACAGUCCAUUGACUUGGACAACUUUUCAUUA